rnacentral:rRNA from 1 species
AUACGGAGGGUGCGAGCGUUAAUCGGAAUUACUGGGCGUAAAGCGUACGUAGGUGGUUUGGUAAGUCGGAUGUGAAAGCCCUGGGCUUAACCUGGGAAUUGCAUUCGAAACUGCCUAACUAGAGUCUAGCAGAGGGAUGCGGAAUUCCGGGUGUAGCGGUGAAAUGCGUAGAGAUCCGGAGGAACAUCAGUGGCGAAGGCGGCAUCCUGGGCUAAGACUGACGCUGAGGUACGAAAGCGUGGGGAGCAAACAGGAUUAGAUACCCCAGUAGUCC